AUUGAACGCUGGCGGCAGGCUUAACACAUGCAAGUCGAGCGGAGAUGAGGUGCUUGCACCUUAUCUUAGCGGCGGACGGGUGAGUAAUGCUUAGGAAUCUGCCUAUUAAUGGGGGACAACAUUCCGAAAGGAAUGCUAAUACCGCAUACGUCCUACGGGAGAAAGCAGGGGAUCUUCGGACCUUGCGCUAAUAGAUGAGCCUAAGUCGGAUUAGCUAGUUGGUGGGGUAAAGGCCUACCAAGGCGACGAUCUGUAGCGGGUCUGAGAGGAUGAUCCGCCACACUGGGACUGAGACUCGGCCCAGACUCCUACGGGAGGCAGCAGUGGGGAAUAUUGGACAAUGGGGGGAACCCCGAUCCAGCCAUGCCGCGUGUGUGAAGAAGGCCUUAUGGUUGUAAAGCACUUUAAGCGAGGAGGAGGCUACUGAGACUAAUACUCUUGGUUAGUGGACGUUACUCGCAGAAUAAGCACCGGCUAACUCUGUGCAGCCGCCGCGGUAAGAC
rnacentral:rRNA from 1 species